rnacentral:rRNA from 1 species
AACGAACGCUGGCGGCAGGCUUAACACAUGCAAGUCGAACGGAUCCUUCGGGAUUAGUGGCAGACGGGUGAGUAACGCGUGGGAACGUACCCUUUGCUACGGAAUAACUCAGGGAUACUUGAGCUAAUACCGUAUGUGCCCUACGGGGGAAAGAUUUAUCGGCAAAGGAUCGGCCCGCGUUGGAUUAGCUAGUUGGUGGGGUAAUGGCCUACCAAGGCGACGAUCCAUAGCUGGUCUGAGAGGAUGAUCAGCCACACUGGGACUGAGACACGGCCCAGACUCCUACGGGAGGCAGCAGUGGGGAAUAUUGGACAAUGGGCGCAAGCCUGAUCCAGCCAUGCCGCGUGAGUGAUGAAGGUCUUAGGAUUGUAAAGCUCUUUCACCGGUGAAGAUAAUGACGGUAGCCGGAGAAGAAGCCCCGGCUAACUUCGUG